UCCCUUUUGGCUCAGCUGGUAAAGAAUCUGCCUGCAAUGCAGGAGACCCUGGUUUGAUUCCUGGGUUGGGAA
rnacentral:tRNA from 1 species